CUAAAAAUUUGACGUUGGUAACUUCCAAGCAUUGUACAGAAUAGAAAAGGAGCGCAAGUUUUAACAAAGAUUCAGUUAAGUGUCGUAAUGUAUGUAGGUAAAUAUGUGUACCUGGGUACCUACUUGAUAAAGUGGAUUACAAAAAAAAAAAUCAAACGAUUUUGAACAAAUGCAUUGGAGACCUCAAUUCUGAAUUGGAAGUUAUUCAGAAGAAACUUCAGCUUAGGAGAUGUCCCUGGCGGAAAGAUUCUGCGUCGACCUUGACCAUUGCCAUCAGACAUUUUUUUGCGGCGGUUCUACUGAGCAAUUGAAAAAUUUCCAAUGGUCACUAACAAGCACCAAUCGCGUUUUACGUGCUUAAGAUUCUUAUCCCACCGAUCAGGAUUGCCCUCGUGAGGGUCAAGUAUUUGAUCGUUGGGGAAAUGAUUGUAUGCGGAGUUGUGGUACCGCAAAAAUAUGCUCCCUCGUAGAAGAACCUGGCUGUGGAUGUAAAAAAGGCUUUUGUUUAGACUCUGUAAGAAACUGCGUCGAAAAACCCAACUGACCCUAGGGGGUCAAAGGUUGGGCGGGCAACCAGUCUCGCUCUCCUCCCCUCGCCCUCCUCCUGCAACCAGGAUUAAGAUUGUAAUUCAAGUACCUAUACAUUUUACUGUUAGAUGCGUAAGUUGAAAAUAUAUUUUUUUUAAAAAAACCUCUGACUCUGAGUGCUAAAAAUUAGACUUCCGUAAAUCUCAAGCAUUGUAUUAUAGAACAGAAAAGUUGUGCAAGUUCUUAAUACCUAUAUACAUUCAGUUAUGUAUCGUAAUGUAUGUAAUAUACAUAUUUUCAUUCGCCUCA